UACGUAGGGUGCAAGCGUUAAUCGGAAUUACUGGGCGUAAAGCGUGCGCAGGCGGUUUUGUAAGUCUGUCGUGAAAUCCCCAGGCUCAACCUGGGAAUUGCGAUGGAGACUGCAAGGCUAGAAUCUGGCAGAGGGGGGUAGAAUUCCACGUGUGAGCAGUGAAAUGCGUAGAGAUGUGGAGGAACACCGAUGGCGAAGGCAGCCCCCUGGGUCAAGAUUGACGCUCAUGCACGAAAGCUGGG
rnacentral:rRNA from 1 species